UCCUCUUUCGUUCUCCCUAACUCCACACACGAAUUUUCAAAUUUUUUUGAAUUUCUCUUCCAAAAAUUCUUCGAUUCCACACACAUAAUUCACUCACACACUCUCCGAUUCUUAUUUUGUGUUGGUAUUGACAGGGAGGCUAGAGAAUCAAGCCAACCUCUACAAAAUCUACUCAUUCAAGGCACGCCCACAAGGUGUUCGACAAAUUGCUCCAACCAAGUUUGGGGGUCGAUUCUCGUCUAAUUUUUACCGGCACCCAUUCUUGAGCCCGUACCCGAGCUUUCCGAUGAGGACGAGCGUGAGAGAGCGAGAGAGGAGCACCCCGAUCACAUCGACUCCGAAUAAAUCAGGUGUUUUCUAUCCUUAAACUUUGUGCUAAUUUCGUUGUGGGCAACGAAAAUUUUAAGUUUGGGGGUGAAAAACAUGUUAUUUUUGUGCUUAUUUGUUUUAGUUUGCAUGCAUUAGGUUUUAUUCAUUUUUAUUGUUUUUCUCGUUUUUCCGGAAUAAUUAAAAAAAAAAAAAAAAAAAAAAUUGCUUGAGUCGAAUGCAUCGAUGAUUUAUGAUGAUGAGAGAUGAUCAAUGUUUGAUGAUGAGAUUGCUUGUUUUGUGUGAUAAG
rnacentral:lncRNA from 1 species